UACGUAGGGGGCAAGCGUUGUCCGGAUUUAUUGGGCGUAAAGAGCGUGUAGGCGGCCAGGUAGGUGGGUUGUGAAAACUGGAGGCUCAACCUUCAGACGUCGACCCAAACCCCCCUGGCUAGAGUCCGGAAGAGGAGAGUGGAAUUCCUGGUGUAGCGGCGAAAUGCGCAGAUAUCAGGAAGAACACCCGUGGCGAAGGCGGCUCUCUGGGACGGUACUGACGCUGAGACGCGAAAGCGUGGGGAGCGAACAGG
rnacentral:rRNA from 1 species